AAUGGACCAAAUAAUGUGUUACAAUGAAGGGCAUAUAGUCAAGCAGGUACAUGGCAGGGGUGCAUUCUCUCCUCGCUCCAACGCUUUCCGUAGGAUCUUGGGAAAGCACUGAAAUAUAUCUGGGUCUGAAAUGACUCAUUUGUAAAAGAGAGCAAUAAAAGCUCUUCUCCCCUUGCCAGGAAGAGGGAAACUGAGCUGGCGAUCCCCUAAUUCCAAACCCUAUGAUUCUAAUCCAGUAAAAUCUGGGUCUAUCAGAAGGAAGAGGGGAUGACUAGGGUGAUUUCUCAAAAUUAUCUCCUCUCACAGACCUCGUGUGGAGUCUGCUAGAGGUGGUGGAGAGAAGGCUGUAGACUCUCAAGGGAGGGCACCUCAGAAAGUGGAGAUGAGAAAUUUUGGGAAAUGGAAGCCAAAAGAUGAGUCCAUACCUCUGACGGGUAUCUAUCACACACCCUAAUCAUGCUGAUCAGCCAUUACCUACCUCCCACCCUAAUCGGUUCUAAUGAGUGAUAUCUGGAAGACUGAAAAGGAACAUGUGCAAUCAACCACGGUUUGGGGACAAAGAAACAAUUUGAAUGUCUUUGUUCUCCAAGCAUGGUCCCAAAGCCCCUGUUUUCAGCAGAUGGGAUCCUUAGACUUGAACAUGGUCUGAAUGAAAUAUCCAUCCAAACCCCUCAGUCCUAGGUGCUGUCUCUGAUUCAGAAACCACAAAGCAGUCUUCUCAUUAGGUUUCCAAGGAUCUUGAUGAGGAGAAUUGGGCGCGGGGCGGGGGGUCGGGGGCGCGCACCAGGUGGGGAAUAUUAACAUUCUGGGUCCUAGGAAGCCAUGGACCCUUUCAGCAUUCCCACUUAUAAAUUGGUCCUUUGUUGAUUGCAUCAUUUUGAAUUAGUUUUCCCAGGGUCUAAUUACCUCUGAGUGAAUUGGUAAAAAUCAAAUUUUGAAAGUUACAAAACAGGACAAAACAUAGCGAUUCCACAAAAGAGCAGGCACUCGGGAGGGCAGCCGUGAACUAGUCAGUCUCUCCCCACUCCGCCUCCCAGCCUGUCCCCGGCUCUCUCUGACUUCAUAACACAACUGCUGCUGCUUUUAGGAGCCCUUCCUUCGACGAGAGAGGGGAGCCUGCUGUUCCUGUUCCUCCUUGGCCAGAUUUACUUCACUAAUGGAAACGCAUUGAUGUCCAGUAAAGAUCCACUGGUGACAUGGACAAAAUGAUACUCUAUCAUGGUCAUCAUUUAUGCCUCAGAACUUCCUCAGAAUCAUCUGCCAACAUGAUGUGAGCAUUCCAUCACAGAGAGUUCCUGAGUUUCCUGAACUGCAUUUAUGCAGCUUGGCUUUCAUUAUCCAUGGCAUAGAAUUCUGUCUCAGAUAACUAUGUAAUUAACAUACCGUAAUAGCUCUCAGAAUAAAAAUCGUCAGAAGAACAUUGACCUGUGUCAUAGAUAUUCAGAUGGAGAGGAUGGAGAUGAUUUUUUGAGACCUCAAGUUCCUGUUAUUAGCCCUGAAGUUCAUUCAUGAGGGAGGUUUAAUGGAGCGUUUUGACUGGAUUUAUGGCACUCUACUCAUGGAAAUUCAUGUUCACAUGUAGUCACAUUUCAGGUAAUUAAGAGAAAAACCCUACUUCCCUCCUAGUUGGGGCAGUUGGAUUCACAUGGAUCUCCCUACAGAGUAACCAUAAAAGUAAAAUCAGCUUGUGUGCUGAGCUGAUAUCAUUUUUACAGGGUUCUAAUUGCUCCCUGUCUCGUGUUGUAAAAGACGUAGACUGAAUACAGCUCUGAUUUCAGUGACAGAAGGAUUAACAACCACAACUGUGAUGACAGUAUUAUAGGAAAACAAAUCUGUACUAGUCAGAGCAACAUUUAUGGGGCUUGGAGGCAACUGUUGUAAAACUGAAAAGGGCUGCAGAGUUUCAGGGAGAAAAUGGGGAAAGUGCCCUGGAGACCAAGGCUCUGGUUCUUGCUCCACCACUGACAGUUUGACAACCAUGCUUCAGUUUGUUUGGAAGUAUAGUCGCCUUGGUAUUUGCCUCCCAGAAAUAUAUGCAAUUUGAUGGAAUAAUAGAUGAAAUGUAUACUUGAUUAUGGCUAGCUUCAUUAUCCUACUUUAAGUGAAUAAAGUCAAUUUUGAAAAACUUUUAAGCAUUAUUUUCAAAAGAAUCCACUCAGUAAAAAUUGCCCAACAUAUAACACAAUAUGAAAAUACUGUGUAUCAGUAACUCCACUGGAUGUAAGAGACAGAAACAUGGAAGAAAGCAGCAUAUAGUUAGGGAAGACUUGAGCCUUGUUUCCAGAGGUCACUUAUGUCACAAAUUCCACAAUUUUUGACAUAUAGUUUUCAGUGAAGUUUUAUAUUUCAGAAUUGAUUUUAUCAGUUCCCACCUUGGGAAAUAUGCCAAGAAUUUGAUUAUUGAAAUAUAAUUUUGCAUUUGAAAAAUAACCUAUGAAACACAAAAAUAAAUGGAAUAAAACACUCAGUCUAUCUAUCUUUCUUUUUGUGAUGCUUACAUAUGACUUUCAUUUUUCUCCCUCAGUGUAAACACUUACUGGAAAGCAGGGAGUGUACAGAUUGAACCACAGGAUAUUGCCUAAUGGCUAUUUCACAUGCUUCAACCUAAUGUAAAGAUUGAGAGGAACUGAUGAGCAAACCUGCAGGCACGUUAGGCUGAAGGACUAAGAUAAAGGAGGCUUGGAACCCCAGAGAUCCUUAAAGUCUAGAUCAUCUCAAGGCUCAGAUAUUGAUAUAUCCUAAAGAUGUGAUGGUGUUUGCCAGUACUGAACUGACAAUUGCUGGAAUGGAAAACAGACUAUAUAGUCUCUCUCUUUUUU